GAGUUUGAUCCUGGCUCAGGACGAACGCUGGCGGCGCGCCUUAUGCAUGCAAGUCGAACGAGAACUUGGUCUUUCGUAAGAAUGGUCAAGGGACAGUGGCGAACGGGUGCGUAACACGUGAGAAACCUGCCCUGGAGAUCGGGAUAGCCCGAGGAAACUCGGAUUAAUACCGGAUAUGCUCACAGGACCACAUGGUCUGGUGAGGAAAUAGUCCGCUGCUCCAGGAUGGUCUCGCGGCCUAUCAGCUUGUUGGUGAGGUAAUGGCUCACCAAGGCUCCGACGGGUAGCUGGUCUGAGAGGACGAUCAGCCACACUGGGACUGAGACACGGCCCAGACUCCUACGGGAGGCAGCAGCAGGGAAUAUUGCACAAUGGGCGAAAGCCUGAUGCAGCGACGCCGCGUGCGGGAUGAAGGCCUUCGGGUUGUAAACCGCUUUCAGGAGGGACGAAAAUGACGGUACCUCCAGAAGAAGGCCCGGCCAGCUACGUGCCAGCAGCCGCGGUAAUACGUAGGGGCCAAGCGUUGUCCGGAUUUAUUGGGCGUAAAGGGCUCGUAGGCGGUUUGACAAGUCGGACGUGAAAACCCGGGGCUCAACCCCGGGACGCCGUUCGAAACUGUCAUGACUAGGGUCCGGUAGAGGUGAGUGGAAUUCUCGGUGUAGCGGUGAAAUGCGCAGAUAUCGAGAGGAACACCAGUAGCGAAGGCGGCUCACUGGGCCGGUACCGACGCUGAGGAGCGAAAGCAUGGGGAGCAAACAGGAUUAGAUACCCUGGUAGUCCAUGCCGUAAACGUUGAAUACUAGGUGUGGCGAGUUAAUCCAUAC
rnacentral:rRNA from 1 species